GCUCUGAGGCUGGGGAGGGGCAGCCCCAGGGAGCCUGGCUAGGAACCCCUCCAGUGGUCUGGGAUCCCAUAGCAGGGUGGAAACCUGAGGCUACCUCGGAGCUGGGCCAGGCCUCCAGGAAGCAGAACAGGAGUGAUGUUGUGGCCCUAGGCUAUGCCCAGGUGGCCACCUGGCCUCAGACUGAGG